rnacentral:tRNA from 3 species
GCCGACGUGGUGAAAUUGGUAGACACGCCAUCUUGAGGGGGUGGUGAGCCUAGCUCGUGCCGGUUCGAGUCCGGCCGUCGGCACCA